GACGAACGCUGGCGGCGUGCUUAACACAUGCAAGUCGUACGGUAAGGCCCUUUCGGGGGUACCCGAGUGGCGAACGGGUGAGUAACACGUGAGUAACCUGCCCACAACUUUGGGAUAACGCUAGGAAACUGGUGCUAAUACUGGAUAUGUGCUCCUGCUGCAUGGUGGGGGUUGGAAAGCUCCGGCGGUUGUGGAUGGACUCGCGGCCUAUCAGCUUGUUGGUGGGGUAGUGGCCUACCAAGGCGGCGACGGGGAGCCGGCCUGAGUGGGUGACCGGCCACAGUGGGACUGAGAUACAGCCACGACUCCGACGGGAGGCAGCAGUAGGGAAGAUUGCUCAAGGGGCGUAAGCCUGAUGCAGCAACGCCGCGUGCGGGAUGACGGUCUUCGGGUUGUAAACCGCAUUCAGCAGGGACGAAGCUUUUUGUGACGGUACCUGCAGAAGAAGCACCGGCUAACUACGUG
rnacentral:rRNA from 1 species